GGGGGCGAAACGGUUUCGACCGGACGAUGGAACGUCGUGUGGCAGGUGGAGGUUGUCCGGAGGCCUCCUUAAACACCGGCAAAAGUUUUGACUGCGAACAACAACUUCGCACUGGCUGCCUAAUACUGGCGCCCCUUCCCCCGCAGCAUGUCCAGGGCUGCGGACGGAGGGCCAUUUUACUGGACUGGCCGAAGAAGACCCUGCCAGUGGUCUUUGAGGCGAGAUCGAACUGGCGACCGUGGAUCGGAUCCUGUCCGUUGGAGCUGACCUCGGUUUUAAAGAACGGACUAUGCCUGUAGAAGCUCGGCGGGAAACGUUUCGGGACCCGGGUUCGACUCCCGGCGCCUCCACCA
rnacentral:tmRNA from 2 species